rnacentral:rRNA from 1 species
CCUACGGGAGGCAGCAGUGGGGAAUAUUGGGCAAUGGGCGCAAGCCUGACCCAGCAACGCCGCGUGAAGGAAGAAGGCUUUCGGGUUGUAAACUUCUUUUCUCAGGGACGCAGCAAGUGACGGUACCUGCGGAAUAAGCCUAGGCUAACUACGAGCCAGCAGCCGCGGUAAUACGGAGGUGGCAAGCGUUAUCCGGAUUUACUGGGUGUAAAGGGCGUGUAGGCGGGAAAGCAAGUCAGAUGUGAAAACCAUGGGCUCAACCUGUGGCCUGCAUUUGAAACUGUUUUUCUUGAGUACUGGAGAGGCAGACGGAAUGCCUAGUGUAGCGGUGAAAUGCGUAGAUAUUAGGAAGAACACCGGUGGCGAAGGCGGUGUGCUGGACAGCAACUGACGCUGAGGCGCGAAAGCGUGGGGAGCAAACAGGAUUAUAUACCCUAGUAGUC